UGGGGGAUAUUGCGCAAUGGGGGGAACCCUGACGCAGCAACGCCGCGUGAAGGAAGAAGGUCUUCGGAUUGUAAACUUUUGUCUUAUGGGACGAAGAAAAUGACGGUACCAUAGGAGGAAGCCACGGCUAACUACGUGCCAGCAGCCGCGGUAAUACGUAGGUGGCGAGCGUUGUCCGGAAUUACUGGGUGUAAAGGGCGUGUAGGCGGGGCGUUAAGUCAGAUGUGAAAUACCCGGGCUCAACUUGGGUGCUGCAUUUGAAACUGACGUUCUUGAGUGCAGGAGAGGAAAGCGGAAUUCCUAGUGUAGCGGUGAAAUGCGUAGAUAUUAGGAGGAACACCAGUGGCGAAGGCGGCUUUCUGGACUGUAACUGACGCUGAGGCGCGAAAGCGUGGGGAGCAAACAGG
rnacentral:rRNA from 1 species